rnacentral:lncRNA from 1 species
GGGCCACACAGUGUGCAGCUCGGCUGCCCCAACCGGGAGACGCGGCGACACGGAGCCGUGGAGAGAGGCAGCCAUGCGAAGUGGGGGACGGGGUCCUAACCCUUCCCCGACCUUGAGGCGGAUCUGCCUCUCGCUGCGGGGACUGCGGCCUCGGUGAUCCCACCCGAAGUUUGUCCCGCCGCAAUUCCGGAGCCCCUGGCCUCGUCGCAGGGUCACAUGGUGUCUGCGAUCCAGUUCUGGUUGGAGAGGAAGCCCAAACGAAGGGGACAGUUCGUGUGGACUGAGAUCCCAAGUCUCUGCCUGGGCAGCAGCCCCGCCCCUCCUGCAAAUCAUUUACCGGGAAAUUGGAUUGGACUUUAUCCAGAGUAACUUAAUGCCCCUUGAUGUGUCCUGUUUCACAACUGGACACAUGUUCUUGCGUUUACAAGGAAGUCAGUAAACUGAAUGGUACUUUUAUGGAAAUUUUGAAUUUGCCUGUCAUUGACACACUUUCCCUUGCACAAGGCUAAAACAUAAAUACGUUCUUCAUUUAAAAAUAAAGAAUGAUCCUAUUUAAAAUUAGUAAAAAGU